rnacentral:rRNA from 1 species
GACGAACGCUGGCGGCGUGCUUAACACAUGCAAGUCGAACGGAAAGGCCCUGCUUUUGUGGGGUGCUCGAGUGGCGAACGGGUGAGUAACACGUGAGUAACCUGCCCUUGACUUUGGGAUAACUUCAGGAAACUGGGGCUAAUACCGGAUAGGAGCUCCUGCUGCAUGGUGGGGGUUGGAAAGUUUCGGCGGUUGGGGAUGGACUCGCGGCUUAUCAGCUUGUUGGUGGGGUAGUGGCUUACCAAGGCUUUGACGGGUAGCCGGCCUGAGAGGGUGACCGGCCACAUUGGGACUGAGAUACGGCGCAGACUCGUACGGGAGGCAGCAGGGGGGAAUAUUGCACAAUGGGCGGAAGCCAGAUGAAGCAACGCCGCGUGCGGGAUGACGGCCUUCGGGUUGUAAACCGCUUUCGCCUGUGACGAAGCGUGAGUGACGGUAAUGGGUAAAGAAGCACCGGCUAACUACGUG